rnacentral:tRNA from 1 species
AGCUGGAUAGCUUAGUGGUUAAAGCGUCCCUACCGGAAAUGGGUGACCCGGGUUCGAAUCCCGGUCUAGCCU